CUGGCGGCGUGCCUAACACAUGCAAGUCGAACGAAGCAACCGGGGCGUUGCUCUGGUUGACUAGUGGCGGACGGGUGAGUAAUGCGUGAGCAACCUGCCUUUCAGAGGGGGACGAACAGUUGGAAACGACUGCUAAUACCGCAUAACGUAUAGAGGGGGCGAUCCCUUUUAUACCAAAGGAGCAAUCCGCUGAAAGAUGGGCUCACGUCUGAUUAGUUAGUUGGCAGGGUAACGGCCUACCAAGACUGCGAUCAGUAGCCGGACUGAGAGGUUGAACGGCCACAUUGGGACUGAGAUACGGCCCAGACUCCUACGGGAGGCAGCAGGUGGGGAAUAUUGGGCAAUGGGCGAAAGCCUCGACCCAGCAACGCCGCGUGAAGGAAGAAGGUCUUCGGAUUGUAAACUUCUUUUAUGAGGGACGAAGGACGUGACGGUACCUCAUGAAUAAGCCACGGCUAACUACGUGCCAGCCGCAGC
rnacentral:rRNA from 1 species